CAUACCAACGUAAUAUCGCAUAAUACUGCAUAAUACCUUCAUAAUACUCUCUGUCGUUCCAUAAAAAAUACAUAUUUUUUCUGUCGAUGGCCAUACCAACGUAAUAUCGCAUAAUACUGCAUAAUACUGCAUAAUACCUUCAUAAUUCAUAAAAAAUACAUAAAUUUUCUGUCGAUGGCCAUACCAAAGUAAUAUCGCAUAAUACUGCAUAAUACCUUCAUAAUACUCUCUAUCGUUCCAUAAAAAAUACAAAUUUUUUUUGUCGAUGGCCAUACCAACGUAAUAUCACAGAAUACAGCAUAAUACCUUCAUAAUACUCUCAAUCGUUCCAUAAUAAUAUUAUAUUUUUCUGUCAAUAAUCCAUAACCAACGUAAUAUCGCAUAAUAUUGCAUAUUACCGGUAUAAUACUCUCUAUCGCUACAUAACAAAUGCAUUUUUUUGUAGAUAGGCUAUAACCAACGUAAUAUGCCACAUUAUUCCGCAGUAGAAACAAGUGUUCUCCCUGGAAAUGACGUAUCAAAAUUUCUAAAGUAGACCAAUUAAUGCAAAGUGAUCACAUAUUGAAAAAAACAACAAUUGAGGUUGAGUAUACAUCCAUUUACCAAUAGAAAUGAUAUUAUGGCAAAAUACUCUUCUGCGAAAUGAUACAUCAAAAGUCCUACAUUAAAAGUCCUCAAGCACGCCAAUCAAGAGAAGACUUUAUACUUUAAACUAAACAAACACUGAUGUUGAAUACACGUCAAUACACAAAGAGACACUAUAUUUUGGACAAGUACUUUGCCGCGAUAUAAAAAAAUGAAAGUUCUAAAGCAGACUAAUCAAUGUGUAGACUUUACACUGUAAUUGAACAAAUAUUGAGGUUGGAUACACAUCCAUCCACCAAUUGAAGUCAUAUUUGACUAAAUACCCUCCAAGAAAAUGACACAUCAAAAGUCCCAAAGCAGACCAAUCGAAGGAAAAACUAUUCACUAUAAACCAAACCAACACUGAUGUUGGAUAACAAUCCAUUCACAAAUAGACACUAUACUUUGGACGAAUACGCUUUCGCGAAAAGAUGAAGCACGCCAAUCAAGAGAAGACUUUACGCCUUAAAUUAAACAUUCAGUGAGGUUGGGUGCACAUCUAUGCACCAAUAGAAACAAUAUUCUGGACAAAUACCCCCUCGCAAAUGACACAGUAAAAGUCUUAAGCCGUUAGAUUUGAGGAAAGAUGUAUAGUAUGCACUAAAAAGGCGGUUUUGUUCUAUAUACACAUGCAAUAGAGACGACAGUGACAGCUUGGAUAAGACUAUUUAAAAAAUGACCUAAUAGAUCUAUUCAAAUAAAGCCUCCCUAAACCAGUAAGUAAAUGGGAUAUUCCACAAUACAUGGCUAAAAAACAACCUGGAUGAAAGUAAAGGUCGAAAUCCUAGCAGAAAAAUUAAAAGAAGUCUGUAAAUGUGAGACACAUCCAUACGUCAUUUAAGGUAACACUUUUAGAAGUUGAGGUAUGUGCAAAAUAAGAUCUGAGAUAUUUUAAAAGACCAAUCAAAGAGAAAAUUUUAUACUUUACCCUGCACAAACACUUAUGCUGGAAAUACAUCCAUACACAAAUAGAAACAAUUUUAUGGAGAAAUACCCUCCCUGGAAAUGACGCAUCAACAGUCCUAAAGCAGACCAAUCAAUGCGAAAGCUUUACAAUAUAAACCAAUCUGAGGGAACACGUUGCACUAUAGAGGUAUUGAGGUAGGAUACAAAUACAUCCACUAAUAGAACAGAUAUUUUGACAAAAUACCAAAACUGCAUUCUGGACAAAUAUUCUCUCGCGAAAAAACAUAUUAAAAGUCUUAAGGCAGACCAAUCUGACGACAGACGUUACAGUAUACACUGAACAAGCAGUAGUGCUUUAUACCCAUUGAUUCAUCUAUAGAAACAAUCUCUUGGACAAUUACUCUUCUCUGAAUAGCAUGUUAGAUGUCCUAAAGCAGACCAAUCAAAGAAAGUGGUUGCAACCUUAACGGUUAUUUUUAUAGUAUAAGACCACUGAGGUUGAAUACAUAUCUAUACACCAAUAGAAAGAUAUAUUCCCAUAAUAGAUGCUAAACAGCAGUUAGUAUUCUGUACCCAUCGAUACAACACCAAAAACAAUAUUAUAGACAAAUGCCAUCUCGUGAAAUGACAUAUUAAAAGUCUCAAAGCAUGUCGAUCUUAGGGAAGUCGUCAAACAAUACAUUGAACAGACAGCAGUGUGCUAUACCCACUCAUACUUCAUUAGAAGCGAUUCUAUGUUCAUUCGAACUGACAUUAUUAGAUGUCCUAAAACAUGACAAUCCGAGGGAAGACGAUAUACUAUACAUUAAACAAGUGGUAUUAUUCUAUACUUAUCCAUACACCAAGAGAUACGAUGUUCUGGACAAAUACCUUCCUGCGUAAUGACACAUCAAAGGUCCGAAACCAGACCAAUACACUACACAAUAUAGAAUCUUAGAUCCUUUAAAAGGGCAAAUAAAUUCAAAGGAAAACCAUCUUCUGGUCAGUAAUAAAGCAGAAAUGCUGGACCCAUUCAUAAGUCAAUGAAAAGGAAAUUUUGCGAGAAUUUUUAGCUCCAUUGAAAUAUUAGAUGCCCUAGCAGAACAAGACAAAUAAAAUAUAUGUACGAUACAGUAGACAAGCAGAGGUGGAAUAUACCCUUGCAUACAUCACUAGAAAGAUACUUUUAAGAAAUAUCGCGCGCGAAGAAGAUAACGUUCUAGCAGACCAUUUGAAGUAAAUCUUUACUUUUGCAAAAAGGCAAAUCGGAUACCCAUUCAUAGCUACAUCACUAAAGAGAUAUUCUGCGAAAGUAACCAAACGCGGAAAAAAGUAUUAAAUGCUCAAGCACAAUAAUUUAGUGCCCUAACAUCAUAACUUCCCUUGUGUUAGGUUAUAAAUUAUAAAACUUGGUAUGGAUGAUAUUUGUCACAUGACAAUUAAAAAUCAUGAUUCAAAUGCUGACUUUGUCAGAAUUUCUUUGCGGACGUCAGCAUUAUUUCUCUUGCAUUUGUGUAGCUUAUGAUAGAUUUUUAUUAUUUUUUUUGUAAAUAUUGACAAAAAUAAUGUUAAUUUUAAUAAUUAUAUAAACAUUUUAGCUAUUUUGGCUUACUUUAAGACCCUUCGUUUGAGGCGCCAACGCAGCAAAUUUUAUUCACAUUUGAAAAGGGCAGUUUAUUACUUUUUUUCUAUUUCAUGAUAGAUUGAUGUUUACUUUUUCCAUUUACAGUAACAUAAAUUUGUAAGGUUUAAACUUGACAUAUAGUUAGUUAUAGUUACUUAUAAUAACUAAAAGAAUAUUUUUUACUUCAAAGAACUUUUUCCUACUUCAAAGAGAACUUUUUUACUUCAAAGGGGAAAAUUUGUUAUUGUUGCUUAUUGAACAUGUGUGAUGAUACUUCAGAGGGUUGAUUGUAACAAUAGUCAACGUAAUUGGAUCAAUUAUAUGCAAUUACGUCGUGUAUAAAAUGUAAAAACAUAUUUCACCCAUAUAAUCGGAGUAAUUAUAUGAUCGUAAAAAGGUUAAAUAUAUAUGCACACCACCUGGCGAAAUUGUCAAAAAGAGAAUAAGAGCCCUGGGGGGUUGGAUAUCAUAUCUGAGAGCGCUAGGCCAACCAGAAUGCCUAAAAUCCCGUAUUCCCCGCUUUGCAAAAUCUAGACGAUUAAAAUAGAAGCGUCCGGUCACGUGGUCGAUAUAAGCCAAUAAAAACGUCAGUCAAAGAUUUUCACGAUCCCGAACCUGCCCGAAAUGCACUUUGUUGUAUUAUGCGGCCAGAAGGAAAAGAAAGGAACAGUCGAACAAGAAAUAAAUUAUAUAAUAUCAAAGAAGCAUAAAAAAACAGUUCUUUUAAGAACUAUUAAGAAGAAUAUAAAAUUUGGACAAGUUGAAGCCCAAGUUAACCAUCGCGUCUUAUGAUGUCUACGUUGGUUUAGGGUUAUAUUUAAUUUUAGCUAUUAGCGCGCUAAUGUUGUCCGUUCCGAUCCGCUUUCGCUUUUAAAUGGAAAUUCACCUUGGAAAUUAGCCAGUGUCAGAAGUGGACAAAUUUUAUGAGAAAGUUUAAUUAAAGUUCUUAUACUUCAAGUCAGUUUUGAUUUUCUCCGCAAUUUCUUGUAUUUAUUACUCAUGGUCUCAAGAUUUGGAAAAAGAAAGUUCGAAAAAUUUAAAGAAUGCGCGAAAGUGUUAGUGGAGUGGCCUUUUGUGCAGUUGGAAAAUACGUUAGCAGAUGUCUACUCUAGGAAUUUUACGAUCUAUUUUAUUGUACGAGAUGGUUUUACGAAGUUUUAAAAUCUUUUGUUUAAAAUUAAUUUCUUUUUUCAGUGUCCUUUAUUAUUCAAGUUAUUAUGCUGUGUAAAGUUUCUACAUUAGACAUUGUGAUAAAAUGAACCGGACAUCAUCUUUCAAGAUUUGCUUUCCCGCGCAUUCUCAAACAGAAAGAAUAAGGAAAUGCUCAUAACGUUUUUGAAGUGGAAUCAAACCUUCUGACAAAAAAUUAAUUGUUGUGAGAAUUUUUUUAGCCCUGACAAAUAUCUUUAUUUUGGUAAGGGUGUGACAUCUUUUUGUUCGAUUAUGUCCAUGCGCAUCGUAUCUUUAGAGAAAAUAAUUGUAAAUAUUGUUUUCUUUUGUUAUGUUAUUUAUAAAAAGAAAGAAAACAGCAGA